UUUCCUUUGGAAGUCAAGCCUCAUCAGACACCAGAGAACCCACACAAGAGAGAAGCCCUUGGUGUACAAGGACAAUGAGCAAAGCUGCAGCCGCCAACCGAACCUUACUGAGCCUGAGAAAAUCUGUAUUGGAGAGGAACCCGUUAAAUGUAGUCAAUGUGGAACAGCUUUUGGCCACAAGCACCUCAGACAACAGCAAAGCAUUCACAGCAGAGAGCCGAUGUGAACGAGGGCAGAAAAUCCUUCUCUCCAGGACUGUCGCUUAACCACAUUGAGCCCCCGGGGCAGCCAUAUGGGCGGGAGCCCCUACAGCCCUGUGGCAGGUGGGAAAGCCCUCCCGCAGUUCUCAGGCCCUGGCCUGCACUUAAGAACACACACAGCCAAGGAGCCUGAGCACGGGAGGGAAUGUGGGAAAGCUUUCAGCCCCAAGCCUCCCCACACUGGACAGCAGAAAAGUCACUCUCAAUAAAAGGCCUGUGGGUAUCCUGCAAACGCCAGAGGUUUUGUCAGGAAUUUAUGAAUGAGGCAAACUUGAAUGAAGGCUGAAAACAGACGGGCCACCAGAGAACUCCCACUGAGGAGAAGGACGUCCGUGUGACGAACAGCCUGUGCCUGAUGACAACAGCACAUACCCACGCCUACGGCAAGGUGACGCGGCAACCUCAGACCACGUCCCAGGAACACCGGGAGCAGGAAGCAGACGCCUGUUAUCACUGCUGUUGGCACAGAUCUGCAGAUCUCCUACAGUGCAGUAAACAACAGUAAGCUGUAAGGACUGGAGAGCAUGGGACAAAAACUGAGGAUACGACCAUCGACAAGCAAAAUAAAACACUAGUGAUGUUGAUCAGCAGAGCAGAAUGGAUUCCGCGGAGAACUGUGCAACUAUUAGAAUCUGGAAAAGGGAAAAAAUACAGACCAUGGACUUCACACAAAAGUAAACUCCACGGGGACUGAAAACAGGAAUAUUGAAAAGUUUUGUUUUAGAUGCCAGCAUUGUGGCACAGCAGGUAAAGCCACCACCUGUGAUGCCAGAAUCCCAUAUGGGCACUGCUUGAGUUCCAGAUGCUCCACUUCCAAUCCAGCUCCCUGCUAAUGUGCCUGGGAAAACAGAAGAUGGUCCAAGUACUUGAGACCCUGCACCUACGUGGGAAACCCGAUGAGGCUCCUUGCUCCUGGCUUCAGCCAGGCCCAGCCCUGGCCAUCUGGAGAGUGAAAGAGCAGAUGGGAGAUUCUCAUUUCUCCACACACUCCCCACCCCAGUUGUCUCUCUGUAACUCUGACUUUCAAAUAAAUAAAACAAACCUUUAAAAAUG